UACGAAGGGGGCUAGCGUUGCUCGGAAUUACUGGGCGUAAAGGGUGCGUAGGCGGGUCUUUAAGUCAGAGGUGAAGUCCUGGAGCUCAACUCCAGAACUGCCUUUGAUACUGAGGAUCUUGAGUUCGGGAGAGGUGAGUGGAACUGCGAGUGUAGAGGUGAAAUUCGUAGAUAUUCGCAAGAACACCAGUGGCGAAGGCGGCUCACUGGCCCGAUACUGACGCUGAGGCACGAAAGCGUGGGGAGCAAACAGG
rnacentral:rRNA from 1 species